GGUGACGAGCGGCGGACGGGUGAGUAAUGUCUGGGAAACUGCCUGAUGGAGGGGGAUAACUACUGGAAACGGUAGCUAAUACCGCAUAACGUCGCAAGACCAAAGUGGGGGACCUUCGGGCCUCAUGCCAUCAGAUGUGCCCAGAUGGGAUUAGCUAGUAGGUGGGGUAACGGCUCACCUAGGCGACGAUCCCUAGCUGGUCUGAGAGGAUGACCAGCCACACUGGAACUGAGACACGGUCCAGACUCCUACGGGAGGCAGCAGUGGGGAAUAUUGCACAAUGGGCGCAAGCCUGAUGCAGCCAUGCCGCGUGUGUGAAGAAGGCCUUCGGGUUGUAAAGCACUUUCAGCGGGGAGGAAGGCGUUAAGGUUAAUAACCUUGUCGAUUGACGUUACCCGCAGAAGAAGCACCGGCUAACUCCGUGCCAGCAGCCGCGGUAAUACGGAGGGUGCAAGCGUUAAUCGGAAUUACUGGGCGUAAAGCGCACGCAGGCGGUCUGUCAAGUC
rnacentral:rRNA from 1 species